GGCUCAGAACGAACGCUGGCGACGCGUCUUAAGCAUGCAAGUCGAACGGCAACACGGGGCAACCUGGUGGCGAGUGGCGAACGGGUGAGUAACACGUAGGUGAACUGCCCUUGGGCUGGGGAUAGCCUGUGGAAACACAGGGUAAUACCGAAUGAGGUCAAUGGAUUGUGAUCUGUUGAUGAAAGGGGCUAAGGCCUCGCCUGAGGAUGUGCCUGCGGCUGAUUAGCUAGUUGGUGAGGUAAUGGCCCACCAAGGCGACGAUCAGUAGCCGGCCUGAGAGGGUGGACGGCCACACUGGGACUGAGAUACGGCCCAGACUCCUACGGGAGGCAGCAGCUAAGAAUCUUCCGCAAUGGACGAAAGUCUGACGGAGCGACGUCGCGUGGGUGAUGAAGGCGGAAACGUUGUAAAGCCCUUUUAUCGAUGAGGAAUAAGCUUGGGAGGGAAUGCCCGAGUGAUGACGGUAGUCGGUGAAUAAGCCCCGGCUAAUUACGUGCCAGCAGCCGCGGUAACACGUAUGGGGCGAGCGUUGUUCGGAAUUAUUGGGCGUAAAGGGUAUGCAGGCGGUUUUCCAAGUCUGGUGUGUAAGACCUCAGCUUAACUGGGGGAGCGCGCUGGAAACUGGGAGACUAGAGUACAGGAAGGGGAGUUGGAAUUCCAGGUGUAGGGGUGAAAUCUGUAGAUAUCUGGAAGAACAUCAGUGGCGAAGGCGAACUCCUGGCCAUGUACUGACGCUGAGAUACGAAAGCGUGGGGAGCAAACAGGAUUAGAUACCCUGGUAGUCCACGCCGUAAACGAUGUGCACUAGGUGUUGGGGUUUUUGAUCUCAGUGCCGUAGCUAACGCGUUAAGUGCACCGCCUGGGGGAGUAUGCUCGCAAGAGUGAAACU
rnacentral:rRNA from 1 species